rnacentral:rRNA from 1 species
GCCAGUUGGUGCAUGGCCGUUCUUAGUUGGUGGAGUGAUUUGUCUGGUUAAUUCCGGUAACGAACGAGACUCUGGCCUACUAAAUAGUCGACGUGGUGGUAUGGCCACGGUCGAAACUAUCUUCUUAGAGGGAUGAGCAGCAAGUGCAGCUGCAGGAGAUUGAGCAAUAACAGGUCUGUGAUGCCCUU